rnacentral:rRNA from 1 species
AGCGAACGUUGGCGGCAGGCUUAACACAUGCAAGUCGAGCGGGCACUUCGGUGUCAGCGGCAGACGGGUGAGUAACACGUGGGAACGUACCCUUUGGUUCGGAAUAACGCUGGGAAACUAGCGCUAAUACCGGAUACGCCCUUUUGGGGAAAGGCUUGCUGCCGAAGGAUCGGCCCGCGUCUGAUUAGCUAGUUGGUGGGGUAAUGGCCUACCAAGGCGACGAUCAGUAGCUGGUCUGAGAGGAUGAUCAGCCACACUGGGACUGAGACACGGCCCAGACUCCUACGGGAAGCAGCAGUGGGGAAUAUUGGACAAUGGGCGCAAGCCUGAUCCAGCCAUGCCGCGUGAGUGAUGAAGGCCUUAGGGUUGUAAAGCUCUUUUGUCCGGGACGAUAAUGACGGUACCGGAAGAAUAAGCCCCGGCUAACUUCGUG